rnacentral:rRNA from 1 species
CAUUUAAAGAGUGCGUAAUAGCUCACUAGUCGAGUGAUUCUGCACCGAAAAUGUACCGGGGCUAAACACACCACCGAAACUACGGGUGCCACGUAAGUGGCGCGAUAGGAGAGCGUUCUAAGGGCGAUGAAGUCAGACCGUGAGGACUGGUGGAGCGCUUAGAAGUGAGAAUGCCGGUAUGAGUAGCGAAAGACAGGUGAGAAUCCUGUCCACCGUAUGACUAAGGUUUCCUGGGGAAGGCUCGUCCUCCCAGGGUUAGUCGGGACCUAAGGCGAGGCCGAAAGGCGUAGUCGAUGGAUAACAGGUUGAGAUUCCUGUACCAGGUGAACAUGUUUGAACGAUGGAGGGACGCAGAAGGCUAACGGAUCCCAGCUGCUGGAUAUGCUGGGUUAAAUAAUAAGUCUUAGAUCGAGUUAAAUGCUUUAUCUUUUAAGGACAAGUUAUGAUGAGGACCGAAAUAAAGUAGGGAAGUCCGUGAUGUCACGCUGCCGAGAAAAGCUUCUAGUUAGUGUUUACCUGCCCGUACCGCAAACCGACACAGGUAGUCGAGGAGAGCAUCCUAAGGUGAGCGAGUGAACUCUCGUUAAGGAACUCGGCAAAAUGACCCCGUAACUUCGGGAGAAGGGGUGCUCAGCGAAAGCUGAGCCGCAGUGAAUAGGCCCAGGCGACUGUUUAUCAAAAACACAGGUUUCUGCAAAAUCGUAAGAUGACGUAUAGGGGCUGACGCCUGCCCGGUGCUGGAAGGUUAAAAGGAGUGCUUAGCUUCGGCGAAGGUACGAAUUGAAGCCCCAGUAAACGGCGGCCGUAACUAUAACGGUCCUAAGGUAGCGAAAUUCCUUGUCGGGUAAGUUCCGACCCGCACGAAAGGCGUAACGAUCUGGGCACUGUCUCAACGAGGGACUCGGUGAAAUUUAAAUACCCGUGAAGAUGCGGGUUACCCGCGACAGGACGGAAAGACCCCAUGGAGCUUUACUGUAGCUUGAUAUUGAAUGUUUGUGCUGCUUGUACAGAAUAGGUAGGAGACGAAGAAGUUUGGACGCCAGUCUAGACGGAGUCGAAAUGUGGGAUACUACCCUCGUUGUAUGAACAUUCUAACACUGGUCGCUUAUCGCGAUCGUGGACAGUGUCUGGCGGGCAGUUUGACUGGGGCGGUCGCCUCCUAAAAGGUAACGGAGGCGCUCAAAGGUUUGCUCAGAAUGGUUGGAAAUCAUUCGUAGCGUGUAAAGGCAUAAGCAAGCUUGACUGCGAGAGCUACAACUCGAGCAGGUACGAAAGUAGGACUUAGUGAUCCGGUGGUUCCGCAUGGAAGGGCCAUCGCUCAACGGAUAAAAGCUACCCUGGGGAUAACAGGCUCAUCUCCCCCAAGAGUCCACAUCGACGGGGAGGUUUGGCACCUCGAUGUCGGCUCAUCGCAUCCUGGGGCUGUAGUCGGUCCCAAGGGUUGGGCUGUUCGCCCAUUAAAGCGGUACGCGAGCUGGGUUCAGAACGUCGUGAGACAGUUCGGUCCCUAUCCGUCGCGGGCGCAGGAAAUUUGAGAGGAGUUGCCCUUAGUACGAGAGGACCGGGGUGAACAAACCGCUGGUGUACCAGUUGUUCCGCCAGGAGCAUCGCUGGGUAGCUAUGUUUGGAUGAGAUAAACGCUGAAAGCAUCUAAGUGUGAAACUCGCCUCGAGAUGAGAUUUCCCAUUCUUUAUGAAGUAAGACCCCUUAGAGAUGAUGAGGUAGAUAGGCUAGAAGUGGAAGUACAGUGAUGUAUGUAGCGGACUAGUACUAAUAGGUCGAGGACUUAACC